UGGGGAAUUUUCCGCAAUGGGCGAAAGCCUGACGGAGUGACGCCGCGUGGGGGACGAAGGCCUUCGGGUCGUAAACCCCUGUCAGAGGGAAAGAAGGGUCGGCGCGUGAAUAGCGCGUCGAUCUGACGGUACCUUCAGAGGAAGCCCCGGCCAACUCCGUGCCAGCAGCCGCGGUAAUACGGAGGGGGCGAGCGUUAUUCGGAAUUAUUGGGCGUAAAGGGCGCGUAGGCGGCCUGGUAAGUCAAAGGUGAAAUCCCUCGGCUCAACCGAGGAAUUGCCUUUGAAACUACCUGGCUUGAGGCCGGGAGGGGGUAGCGGAAUUCCCAGUGUAGCGGUGAAAUGCGUAGAUACUGGGAGGAACACCGGUGGCGAAGGCGGCUACCUGGACCGGUUCUGACGCUGAUGCGCGAAAGCGUGGGGAGCAA
rnacentral:rRNA from 1 species